UACGUAGGGUGCAAGCGUUGUCCGGAAUUAUUGGGCGUAAAGAGCGUGUAGGCGGCCCGACCAGUCCGCUGUGAAAGUCCAGGGCUCAACCCUGGAAUGCCGGUGGAUACUGUCGGGCUAGAGUCCGGAAGGGGCGAGUGGAAUUCCUGGUGUAGCGGUGAAAUGCGCAGAUAUCAGGAGGAACACCAAUGGCGAAGGCGGCGAGCUGGCCUGUGACUGACGCUGAGGCGCGACAGCGUGGGGAGCAAACAGG
rnacentral:rRNA from 1 species